rnacentral:rRNA from 1 species
CCUAAGACAUGCAAGUCGCACGGUUUAGCAAUAAGCAGUGGCGGACGGGUGAGUAACACGUGGGAGAUCUGCCCCGUAGUAGAGGAAAACUGAGGGAAACUUCAGCUAAUCCCCUAUGUGGACUGAGAUUCUGAUCUCUGUCUAAAGCUUUGGCGCUAUGGGAUGAGCCUGCGGCCCAUCAGGUAGUUGGCGGGGUAAUAGCCCACCAAGCCGACGACGGGUAGCUGGUCUGAGAGGACGACCAGCCACAGGGGUACUGAGACACGGACCCCACUCCUACGGGAGGCAGCAGUUAGGAAUCUUCCCCAAUGGGCGAAAGCCUGAGGGAGCGAUACCGCUUGAACGACGAAGCCCUUCGGGGUGUAAAGUUCUGAACUGGGGACGAUAAUGACGGUACCCAGGUAAUAGCACCGGCUAACUCCGUGCCAGCAGCCGCGGUAAUGACGAGGGUGCGAGGUUACCCGGAUUUACUGGGUGUAAAGGGCGUGUAGGCGGUUUCUCAAGUCCGAUGCUAAAGACCAGGGCUCAACCCUGGGAGUGCGUUGGAUACUGUGAGACUAGACGGUCGGAGAGGGUAGCGGAAUUCUCGGAGUAGCGGUGAAAUGCGCAGAUCCCGAGAGGAACGCCAAUAGCGAAAGCCCCUACCUGGACGAUUUGUGACGCUGAGGCGCGAAAGCGUGGGGAGCAAACCGGAUUAGAUACCCGGGUAAUCCACGCCCUAAACGAUGAGUGCUGGGUGUCCGGCUUUAGUUGGGUGCCGAAGCUAACGCGAUAAGCACUCCACCUGGGAAGUACGGUCGCAAGACUGAAACUCAAAGGAAUUGACGGGGGCCCGCACAAGCGGUGGAGCAUGUGGUUUAAUUCGAAGCAACGCGAAGAGCCUUACCAGGUCUUGACAUGUAGGGAAGUCUGGUGAAAGCCGGGGGUGCCCGCAAGGGAGCCCUAACACAGGUGCUGCAUGGUCGUCGUCAGCUCGUGUCGUGAGAUGUUGGGUUAAGUCCCGCAACGAGCGCAACCCUUAUCCCUAGUUGCUAGCAGUUCGGCUGAGCACUCUAUGGAGACUGCCUACGAAAGUAGGAGGAAGGCGGGGAUGACGUCUGAUCCGCAUGGCCCUUACGACCUGGGCGACACACCUGCUACAAUGCCCACCACAAACCGCUGCGACCCGGCAAGUUGGAGCCAAUCGCCUAAAAGCAGGCUCAGUUCGGAUUGAGGUCUGCAACCCGGCCUCAUGAAGCUGGAAUCGCUAGUAAUCGCGGAUCACCCAGCCGGGUGAAUACGUUCCCGGGCCUUGUACACACCGCCCGUCAAGCCAUGGGAGUGGGUUUUGCCUGAAGUCGCCGGGAGCUUAUGGCAGGCGCCUAGG